rnacentral:rRNA from 1 species
UGGGGGAUAUUGCACAAUGGGCGAAAGCCUGAUGCAGCGACGCCGCGUGGGGGAUGAAGGCCUUCGGGUUGUAAACUUCUUUUGCUCUGAACAAGGCAUGCCUUUGGGGUGUGUUGAGUGUAGGGGUUGAUUAGCGCCGGCUAACUACGUGCCAGCAGCCGCGGUAAUACGUAGGGCGCGAGCGUUGUCCGGAAUUAUUGGGCGUAAAGGGCUUGUAGGUGGCUGGUUGCGUCUGUCGUGAAAGCUCAUGGCUUAACUGUGGGUUUGCGGUGGGUACGGGCUGGCUUGAGUGUAGUAGGGGAGGCUGGAAUUCCUGGUGUAGCGGUGGAAUGCGCAGAUAUCAGGAGGAAUACCGGUGGCGAAGGCGGGUCUCUGGGCUGUUACUGACGCUGAGGAGCGAAAGCGUGGGGAGCGAACAGG